rnacentral:rRNA from 16 species
CACCGCCCGUCGCUCCUACCGAUUGAAUGGUCCGGUGAAGUGUUCGGAUCGCGGCGACUGGGGCGGUUCGCCGCCCCCGACGUCGCGAGAAGUCCAUUGAACCCUAUCAUUUAGAGGAAGGAGAAGUCGUAACAAGGUUUCCGUAGGUGAACCUGCGGAAG